rnacentral:tRNA from 1 species
GGGGCGAUAGCUCAGAUGGGAGAGCGGCUGCUUUGCACGCAGCAGGUCCGGGGUUCGAAUCCCCGUCGCUCCA